CACGUAGGGGGCAAGCGUUGUCCGGAAUCAUUGGGCGUAAAGAGCUCGUAGGCGGCUCGGUAAGUCGGGUGUGAAACCCCCAGGCUCAACCUGGGGACGCCACCCGAUACUGCUGUGGCUAGAGUCCAGUAGGGGAGUGUGGAAUUCCCGGUGUAGCGGUGAAAUGCGCAGAUAUCGGGAGGAACACCAGCGGCGAAGGCGGCACUCUGGGCUGGAACUGACGCUGAGACGCGAAAGCGUGGGGAGCAAACAGG
rnacentral:rRNA from 1 species